UUACAGUUGGUAUCAGAGCCGCGUUCCUCGGACCCAUCCCUUACACAAUAAUGCUUAGAGAAAUAUUCACCGAUAAGUCGUUACUCAACCAUUCCUUAUGAAAUGCAGGUGCAAAGAAAUGAGGAGAGGAAGACCCCCACUAAACCGAGCGGCCUAGGAUAAUUCACUUCGGGAGGAUGUAGACAGAUUAUUUGAGAUGAUGGAAGGAUUCAUAGCUGCCCAGCAAGGGCGAGAGGAGAGAAGGGAGUUACCCGACCCUCCUCCACUACCGCAGGUUGAGCCUCCGCUACAGCAGGCUGAUCCCGAGCCACCCCGGCACGAAUCUGUUCC
rnacentral:lncRNA from 1 species